rnacentral:rRNA from 1 species
CAAUAGCGUAUAUUAAGGUUGUUGCGGUUAAAAAGCUCGUAGUUGGAUCUCGGCAGGCAGGGGGUGGUUCGCUCUUAGCGCUACUGCCCCAUUUGCCUGUGUGAUUGGCGGAGGUUUCGGGGUGCUCUUCGUUGAGUGACCCGGGGCGCCGUCAGGUUUACUUUGAAAAAAUUAGAGUGCUCAAAGCAGGCUUUUCACGCUUGAAUAUUCGUGCAUGGAAUAAUGGAAUAGGAACUCGUUUCUAUUUUGUUGGUUUUCGGAAAUCGAGUUAAUGAUUAAUAGGGACAAUUGGGGGCAUUAGUAUUCAGACGACAGAGGUGAAAUUCUUGGACCGUCUGAAGACUAACUACUGCGAAAGCAUUUGCCAAGAGUGUUUUCAUUAA